GAGUUAUUAGGAGCGCACAAUAGCAAGGAGGUUACCGGAUCCCCAGUAACUUCCUCGCCUAACGUGCGCUCCUGCUACUUGGGACGAAUUUUUCUGGAAUUUCGAGCGACGCGGGGACUAAAUUCUCUCCCAUUUCUCCACUUUACCGACUCCCAUAUCUUCUUUCAAAAACAUUUAUCAUCUUUUAUUAACCUUUUUAAAACAUUUUGACAAGUUUAUUUCUAGUAUUCGUUAAUUAAGUAAAGGAAUAUUAUUAAAUAUUAUUUUUAACUAUCCAAAUUUCAAUAACAAAAGCUAUAUAUUAAACUUAAAUUAGCACCUGUAUCAAAAUUCAUCUACAGUAUCACUUGAGGAUUUAUAUGAAUUGUUUGCAAAAUAAUAAACAUUAAAUAAUAGUAAUUUAGCAAGAAUCAUUAAUUUUGUUUUAUCUUGCUCAAGGACCAAUAUCUACGGAAUUCCAUUCUUGGGUUUGUUAACCUGGCAAUCGCCAUGAUGCACACUAACGCAACGUCUGCGCCGUCGCAGUCGGCGGCAGUCGUCGCACCCGGCGUCGUCCGUGCGUGCGUGACUAAUGUAAACAAGCGAAGUCGUCGUCGCCGUUGCUGCUGCAAAUCGCACACAUUCGUCGCAUCAGCAGCUCGGAACGCUCAGAUGUUAAUUGAAGCAAUAUGCCUUCUUACAAGUUGACUUAUUUCCAUCUCACAGCAUUGGCUCAGCCAGUUCGCUUCUUGAUGAAUUAUGCUGGGAUUGAGUUAGUUUGUGGAUGAACGUAUUGAUAAAAAUGUUUGGCCAAAACUUAAAGCGAUAGUCGGAAGGAAGAUUGAUCAGUCCAUAGCUAUCUGCCAUUACUCGGCGAAACAAUGUGGUCUUGCUGUCAAAGAUGAUUGGGAGGCUUUGCUAAUUGCCGUGGCUGUUGAUACGAUACAUGAUUUACGCACCGGUAAGUAAUAGAUAAUACUUUGCUUAUACAAUAUUUAUCCAACUCUUAUUUACCAGAAAAACAGAUAUUUACUCUUAAAAAAGAUAUAAAUCAUGAUUUAUAAAUUUGAGAUUUAUAAAGUUAAUUAUAAAACACUCGUCGAUUAUCAAUGUGGGUUCAAUUACAUCUGUGUACAUACAUAUUAAUCAUUCUAAAUUAUAAUAUUUAUGAUGAAAUUUUAAUUGGCACACAUUUGGCAACAAUGAAAAAUACAAAAACUUUCACCCUUUGCAUUAAAAAAAAACUCAAAUUUAAUAGGGUUUAACGUAUGCGCAUUUAAUUAAUAUGUAUGUAGUGAAUUUGUGUAAUAUACACUUGAUAACUGUCAAAAAUAAUUGUGUUAACUUAGCCAUAAUAUUUUAUUGCAAACAAAUAAUAACAAAAGAAAUUUCUACAUUUGUGCUA